rnacentral:tRNA from 1 species
GCCGCCGUGGCUUAGCGGCAUAGCGGCUGAUUCGUAAUCAGCAGGUCGGGGGUUCAAUUCCCCCCGGCGGCUC